AGCAAGAAGGCGGCUGUCUACAAGGCAGUAAGAGAACUCACAUCAGAACCUGCCCAUGCUGGCACCUUGAUCUUGGACUUUCAUCCUCCAGAACUAGACAUCAUUCAGAAAAGUGCAUUGUGUGAUUGGAAAUGUAACAGGAAUAGAGAUGUAAUGGCCCACCAUCUUCUGGUAUAAGGUAACUCCCACGUGGAACAUCUCUUGCAGAGACUGAAUACCUGACCAUAAGAUACCAGCGGGCUAUGAAUUUUGAGGAGCCCUCCAUAAACCAAGCCACAAAGUCUGAUGUUCCCAGCAGUAUUCCAUCAUCACGAGAAGGUGGUCAGACUUCCCUGGUGGCGCAGUGGUUAAGAAUCUGCCUGCCAAUGCAGGGGACACGGGUUCAAUCCCUGGUCUGGGAAGAUCCCACAUGCCAGUGGAGCAACUAAGCCUGAGAGCUACAAUUAUUGAGCCUGCAUGCCACAACUGCUGAAGCCCGCAUACCUAGAGCCCGUGCUCCACAACAAGAGAAGCCACAGCAAUGAGAAGCCCGAACGAACACUGCAAGUAGAGAAAGCCCAUGCACAGCAACGAAGA